AACGAACGCUGGCGGCAGGCCUAACACAUGCAAGUCGAGCGGACCCUUCGGGGUUAGCGGCGGACGGGUGAGUAACGCGUGGGAAUAUGCCCUUCUCUACGGAAUAGUCCUGGGAAACUGGGGGUAAUACCGUAUACGCCCUUUGGGGGAAAGAUUUAUCGGGGAAGGAUUAGCCCGCGUUGGAUUAGGUAGUUGGUGGGGUAAUGGCCUACGAAGCCGACGAUCCAUAGCUGGUUUGAGAGGAUGAUAAGCCACACUGGGACUGAGACACGGCCCAGACUCCUACGGGAGGCAGCAGUGGGGAAUCUUAGACAAUGGGGGCAACCCUGAUCUAGCCAUGCCGCGUGAGUGAUGAAGGCCUUAGGGUUGUAAAGCUCUUUCAGCUGGGAAGAUAAUGACGGUACCAGCAGAAGAAGCCCCGGCUAACUCCGUG
rnacentral:rRNA from 1 species